rnacentral:lncRNA from 1 species
UAACAUCUGAAAUGCAAAUAAAGAAAAUAUCUAAUAAAAAAUAGUUGGUUAAAACGGGGAGUUUGAACCAGAAGCAUGUUUUACAUAAUAUUACUAAUCAAGUUUUGCUUUAGAGCAAAUAGUGGGGAAAUAAUCUAAUUUUCUUAUAAAAUAUGUUAAGGAUCAAUAAUAUGGAUUUUCACUAAGAACACUGGCAAGCUUUAUAAAGCUGAAUAUUUUGCUACAUACUUUUGUGAAAUGAGACUGAGCCAUGCUUAGAAUCACUGGCCUCAGCUGAUAGUCACAAAGGACCCCUUAGAUCUCUGAUUACCUUGGUGUUGGGAAUACUCAGAGUUUUCAUUAACAUCCUAUAUGUAUUGUAAACAUACACUGUGACCUUUAUUGAUGUAGAAUCUAUGAUUAGAUGUCUUAGCAUACUUUGCUAAGUGUAUUAUGGUUUUGGGUUUGGGGUUUUUAUGAGAUUAUUAUGAGUGUGAACAUGUAUGUCUCUACAUAUACAUAUGUUUCUUGUGCUUUUUAUCCUAGUCCAAUUUGUUUUUAUUUUAUUCUAUCAAUAUUCUUUAGAUGUUUGUUUGUUUGUUGAGACAUAAAGGGUAUGAAUUCAGGUGACAGGGAGGAUCUUGAAGGAGUUGGGUGUGGGGAAACUGUAGUUAGAAUACAUUUUAUGAAACAUACCCUAUUUUCAGUAAAAGAAAAAAUAGAGGAAAAUGUUAUAAACUCCAUCACAAAGUUUACUGGACAUUUAUGGAUUAGUUUUUCUGAAAUCCUUUAUUAGAAAGCACAUAAAAUUUUACACAGUCUCUGCAAGUGUAGCCUACUGGUAUUUCACUGGAAAGCAAUGUGAUAUGCCAUGUUUACUCAAUGUAAAUAAAUAGGUUAGUAGGCAGAAUAAAGAAAUUCAGAGUGUGUGUAUAUAUUAUAGAACAUUUAACUUACUUAGUAAUUAAUACUGAAUUAAGAUCACAGGUAGGAUAUAAAUUGAGUAGCAAUAAGUAUCAAUAGGAUUUCCAAAUUAGUUUAAUAGCAAAUCUUACAGUUAGAAAGUAGCAGCAAAUGAGAAACAUGUACAUGUAAUGAGAAUAUGAAAUAAAAAAUGAGUCAGAAGAUAUGAUUGAAUGAGUAUCUGCUGAGAGAGGGGGGAAAAAAAGGAAAGGAGGAAGGAAGGGGAAAUUAAAUAGAUCCAGUGGAAUCAAGAUUGGAAGUACUAGUUUUAUAAUUGACCAAGUGGGCAGCAUUCAUUUAAAAUAUAGUUUAAAUUUUUCCAUUGAACUAUUUUAUGUGUUUCUGUGUGUAUGCAUUAUGUAUCUGUCAGAAACUGCUCCGUUUUGGUUCUCUCUUGAAGGUAGCUGAGGUGAAAACAGUAUUGGGGAAGAGCCUUGGCAGGGGCAAGACUUGGUCUUGCUAGAUAAUUAAGGUUGCCUUUUAAUAAUAAAACAUUUACCUGUCUAAGUUAAUUUGCAGUGGUAGUUGAUCUGCCUGUCUGAGUUCCUCUGAGGCCAGAAACUUUUCUUUAAUUCCUUUUAACUCUUCUUUAAUUCUUUUUCACAGCUUGGAGGCUGAGCUGGGUGGGGUCUUGCUCUAAAGUCACCACUCCCUUUAAUCCCUUUAGCAUCAGACCUUUCUUUAAUCUGUUUACACUUAGUGGUGAUCCUUUUCUCUCUCAAAUGUGCACUUUGUAUCUUUUCUUUGUGCAGCUUGCUCCUUUUUUUUUUUUUUUUUUGGUGGAUCUUUAUAAUAUUAGCCACGAAUAACCAAGCAACAUGGUCAAUAAUAGGUUGUUUUGAAACAUUCUCUGCCAAAGCUGUUAGUUUAGCUCUUCAGUUUAGCCUCAAGCAGAUGUUUUAGACAAGGGCAGAAAGCAGCCACAUUCUUAGCCAACAUAUCACAAUUGUCUCUAGGUCAUAUAUUACUAUUCUUCUCUUCUGGAACCUCUUGAGCUGAGCCCCCACAGUUCAAAUCACCCUCUGCACCACUGUCUUCCAUACUCUUACUUGUAUGGACAUUAAGCUCCACUUAAAGUGUUCAACUGAUUUUUCUAAUCUAAAGUCUCAAAAUCCACAUUCCUCCAAACAAAACCAUGAUGCAGCCAUACUCCAAAUUCUGGUAACAACUUCAGUCUUAGGAGUUUAUUGCUGUGAAGAGACACUAUGACCACAGAGACUUUAAAGGAAAAUAGUUAAUUGGUUUACAGUUUAGAGGUAGAGUACAUUAUCAUCAUGGCUAAAAGCAUUGUCAAGUACAAGCAGACGGAGUGCUGGAAUGGUGCUGAGAACUCUAAAUCUGGAUUCACAGGCAUCAGGAAGAAUGAGCCACGGGGCAUAGGUUGAGCUUCUGAAACCUCAAAGUCCACCCCUAGUGACAGGAAGGCCACACCUACUUCAACAAGACCACAUCUCCUAAUAAUGCUCCUCUCCAUGAGGCUAUGGGGUCCAUUUUCACUCAAACCUUCACACAUGUACACAUAUAUAUACAUAUUCAUGCAUGUAUAUAGUUAUACACAUGAAGAUAUAUUUCCCCCAUGAAGAAUAAGAGUCAUAUUCUGUCAUCUCUAUUAUUACAUGUUCUAUAUUUUAAAUUGUGAAUGCUUCCUAAAGUUCCAUAAGGAAAAGGCUUGCUGCUACAGCUAUUGGGCAAUUAUAUAAUCUUUAACAAGUACACAAGUGAAGAUGUUUCCCCUUUUCCUAGAAUUCAUUAAUAGCUUCAUUAGUUAAGCAGGGAAGGGUAGAAUGCCAGGAGCCUUUCCCCAACUCAUAACUCAAUAGGUUCAGUUUUGGGCAGGCCUCGUUCAAACGGCAAUAGCUGUCAUGUAUCAUAAAUCAAUGGCUGUGCUAUGCCCAGAAGAAAACGUUCAGUAGCCCUUCUCCCUGUCUCCCAGCUUAUACACUCUUUCCAUCUCUUCUGAGACAUCCCCUGAGCAUAGAUGAGGCACUAUAAAUAUCCUACUUAGGGCCUAGUGAUCAGUGGACCUUUAAUUCUCAGCACCCUGUGCAAACAAGAAUCCCUGGUAGCAAAUAUUCUAUGCGUAAUCCUGUGAGUAGCACUAGUCUAUGGGUAUAAACACAGACAUUUAAAAGAUCAUUUGACACAAUGUCAAUUUAGUUAAAUAUUAGUAGUAUUUCCUACUACUUUAUAUAGCAUCACUUGCCAUGACUUUUGGGACUGAUUUAACAGCUCGUCAUAAAUUCCUGCUUAUACUCAAUCAGAGAGAAGUUAAUUGUUCCCACAACAGCCUUAAUAAUGAUUCUUAAAUUUAAAUUCAACUCCAUUUCCCUC